GCCCUGAUAUUCAACCAAGGGAAUAUUUGUUAGAAGCUUCAGUUGCUCAUGAAAAGCUUUGUGCUAAAAUGUUACACCCACAGCUGAUGAAGUCAAUUCACCAGGCUUCACCAGUUGCUCAAACAAGUUGUUUGGAAGGAUUCCAUUCUGUCCUGAAUCAUUUUGCUCCAAAAAUGAUUCAUUAUUCCUAUGUUGGAAUGUAUUGCAGACACAUUUUGGCAUCCAUCCACUUCAACAACAACAUAAGGCGUGAUGUAAAGAUGAAGAAUGAUGGCACUUUCCACCACCACCAAUGAAUGUCAUGCUGCAAAAGCAACCCAGAUCAAAGGUGCUACUAAAACAGGUCCGUCGAAAAUGCAUUGUGCUCAAUGAUGUCCCCCCCUCAAUUCCAGCAGCUACCAGUGUGCCAUUCAGCUGUCAGUCUAAAGUGGCAGUUUCAAAAGAAAAAAGUCAGCCAAAAUGUUUGACAUGCAAGAAGCCAAUGAAAGGUCACAAACAUGUGGCAGAGUGCCCAAAAAAUAGGAAAACUUAAUUUUCACAUCACUCAUUUAUUUCAUUUUCUUUGUACCCUCUAAAUUCCAACUUUUUAUCAUUAAAUUUUGAUCUUAUUGCAUGGUAUGCACAUGCUGGAAAUGGUCUUCUUUCUUGUCCUAAGCAUCCAUAAAUCAUAGAUGUGAAUUCUCUGUAUGCAACACAUCGUAAGGACCUGAAUAUAAAGCCAAAUCGUUACUAAUGUGUCAUAACACUAAAAUAUACUUAAAUACUGGGAAAUAACAUAAUAUGCUAUCAUA